GAAUUAUUUUAAAAAAUAGAGAACUGCUCACUAUAUAUGUGCUAAAUAUAUACUAAUUGUUAUCCUAACCUAUCAGGAAAAUUUUUACUUAUUGCCUUCCUUUAUUUGGGAAGCAAAUUAACCCUUUAACAGAAAAUCUAAACUAUGAAUGAAAAUAUACACAUCAAGAAACACAUAAUUUCUAAUUUGUGUUACAAAAAGCUUAUCUGAAAGGCUAUGAUAUGUACAUAUUAGAAACUCAGUAUUUACUGAAUACUUUUCUAUUGAUUUAGUGGGUUUGCUUUCCUCAGACAUUUUUUCACAAUUACACAAAAACCCACUGGAAAUUCAACUUUUAAUAAAUUAUGUUUUUCUUUCAAACAAUGAUUCCUCAUUGUCCCACAAAAUUGAUAAGCUACCUCAUUAACAUUACCACAAUUUAAAUAAACACAAUUUAUUAAGUACUUAUUACGUGCAGGUGUUAAGGAUGCUGCAAAACACAAACUCAAAAAAAGGGUAAAUUUUGAUUCUUGCCCUCAAGAAGUUUACAAUCUUGAAAGACAAGACUUAAAAACAUUAAUCAUUCAGAUGUCUUGGAAGAUUGAAAAAAAAACAUUAGUCAGUAAAAGGACAUUAUAAAUUUUACUGAUAAAUUGAAUUAGCCAAAUUUAAACUGCUACAGCAAUACAUGAAAGGAUUCUUUAAAGUAAUUACUGAUUAGGGUUCUACUGAGAUUUUUAAAUGCUUCCAAAAUUAUAGUACCUCGCUCAUAUGUAAAAUGGUAUUAUUUGAUGAUGAUAGACUUCCUAUGUGGAUGUUCAGCUGGACUUUGAGGAAAUUACUAAUAAUUAGGAAUAGCUUUUAAUUAUUCAGGCUCCUAAGGUGAGAGAUAACAGUAAUGGUCUCAGUUUUGAUCACUCAGUUCUCUUAUUAAAAAUAUCUCAAGCAUGAAUCUUUCACUACAUGCAUAUUUAAAAUUAUAUGCAUCUAGGUAUUGUCAUCUAUAUAUUAAAUAUUAAUAAGGUUCAAAUUCCUUCUUUCUCUCCACUUUGCAUGAAUACUUAAUAUGAACAUUGAAACUCACAGAUCAUGCAAAAAUAUUUUUAUCUAACCAUUGCAGUAUCUUCACACAUCAAAUGUAUUUUUUAACAUAAAUGUUAAAAGGCAGCAGACAUGCAUUUAAAUUUCAGUUUAUUUUUCUCUCUACUCUUAAAAUACAUGUUAAUUUUCAAUGUAAUGAACAGCACUAAAAAGAAACAAAGGAUAGUAAUGACUAGGUAAGCGAACCCUAAAACUUCAUGGGAAAUAGUAACCAUUGAAGACCGUUAGUAUUAUUUUUCUUAUGUAUUUGUAAUUUAAUACCCAAUAUUGAUAAUGUAUUAUUUAGUAAACUGUCAAAAUCUUCAAAAUGAUUUGUCUCUCAUUACUAUAAUUCCAUUAUAAAGUCUAUUCAUUUCAUUUCCUUGCCUACUCUUUCGUUAAAAAAAAAUUAAGAACAUUUAAAACCAAAUGUCCAAAUAUAUUAUGCUUUAACCUCCAAAUAACUUUUUGUUAAAAUAAAUAUAACAAGAAUGUGAAACCAUGAAAGCCAUUUUGAGGUAAGACUCCUUUCUAAGACUAAGUUAGGUAGCAAUGCAAACAAAUAUUUAAAAUAAAUCUGAAUAUAUAUUUUUCAUCAAUGUAAUUUUAUAGAUUGUAUGAAUAUGUAUUUAGAGAACAUUUGUUUCUAUCUAAACUAUGGAAAUAUGAAUAUGUAAAUAUUAUAUGUAUUGAAUAGUAUGUAGGUUUACAUACAGAAAUAAUAUAUACAUAUGUAGCUACCUGAAAAACCCUUUUACAACAUCUUCCUAACAUACUGUUCAUUUUGAAUAAUCCUAAUACUUAAAGUCCACUUAAAUUUCUAUAUUAAAACAACAAAUAAACUUAGAACUACAGUGAACUAGCCACAUAGUAUUUCUACUAUGAAGAAAUAAAAACACAUUUUACAUUUAAAUAGGUAAGUCAAAAAAAUAAAACUACAUUUUACUGGAGCAUCAUUUUGGCCGCACUGAUUUUUAUCAAUUAUAGUAAAAGGCAUUAAGUUCACAUAUUUAAAUAUCAAACUGCAAGUCAUCAAAAGCUUGGCAUUGUUAGUAUACAAAAAAAAAGUUAAGCACAGUAAGAAGUAUGCUCAAAAAGCUUCUAAAAAUAAUGCUUUAUUCUUCUAUUAGUUAGAGUAAACUGCUUAAGUCUCUUAAUUUCUUCAUAUCUGAAGGCUGUUAAUAAAUAACAUUCCCAAAUAAGUAUUCAACGCCAGAAAUUAGCUUUCAUGAAGACAUUCUUAAUUUCAGUUAUUUCAGGAACAUAUUUGCUCUUUUAGCCACUCAAUAUUUUGUGAGAAAUAGUAUCUUUCUCUAAGAUUUGUGAAUAUUUGAUGUUUGCUACUAUAAAUUAUUUAAAGUGGUAUUUUUCAUUAAAAUAUGAAAAUAUAUACCUAUUGACAAUGAAACCUGUUUCUUUAUUAGUACAUGAAAGACUACUAAAUUCAACAACCUGCUUUUAAAAUGUACCUGAAUAGAGGUGAGUGUAUUAGUUCCUUCACAGAGGAACUCUACACUUUCAAUUGUAUAUUUCUGUGGAGAAUAUGGGAAACGUAUACUUGACAAAACGCAAAAGAAUCAUCUGAAUAACUCAUUUCAAGUAAAAAGAAAAAAGCCAAGCUGGAAAAACAUAAAAAGGUUACACAUCUUCUGAAUAACCUCUUUCACAAAGUAACUGAGAAAUCAAAUAACCAUAAAACAUUCAAAAGCAAACCUUGUAGAAACAAAUCUCUUUGCUACGCUAACCAGAAAAGUAGUCUCAGAGCUAAAGAUAACCCUGUCUGGACAGUUCCCUGGUGCUGAAGUUCCAGAGCCGGUAAACGCAUGCCUGGGUGCUGCUUUCACUCCUACCACCCUCAGAAAAACCCGGCCUGCCAAGACCGUGAGCAAGAAUAGUAGAACUUCACAAGAGUUCAACAAUUUUUAUGAAUUUCUAAUCCAACCUCAUCAUCCUAUGGGAAACAGAAGACCACCAAGAACAGCCAGCUGAGACAGAAUUUCACUGUGUUGCCCAAGCCAAUCUUAAACUCCUGGUCUCAAGCGAUCCUCCUGCCUUGGCCUCCCACUGUGCCUGGCCUAUGGACUCUGAAUUUUUUUAAAAGACUGGAAAAAACUUUUAUAAGAGAAUUGGAAAUUUGGACAAUGGAAUCUCAUUCUGUCACCAGGCUGAAGUGCAGUGACGUGAUCUUGGCUCACUGCAACCUCCACCUCCUGGGUUCAAGCGAUUCUCCUGCCUCAGCCUCCUGAGUAGCUGGGAUUACAGGUAUCUUGGCAGUAACCUCCUCCAUAUAUUUCCUUGGCCCUCAGCUUACAUCUAGCAAAAUGACUCUACUGGUUCCAGGCUUCACAUGCAUACAACAUGGUGUUGGAGGAACAGAGAUGUUUUCUCUUCCUGGUGUUUUCCCAGACAUUUCUUAGCUGGCAUUUCAAACAAGGGUCCUGAAAUUCACCCUGGUUGGGUCGUGUUCUCCCCUUCCCAUUCCCCAUCCCCACCCUCAACCGAAAAAUGAUGUAAGCAGGGGAAAUUGAAUGUACCAAUGUUUGUUUUUAAACAAGCCACAGACCCCUCCCCAACUCCCCGACUGAAGCUUGAAGUGGGAUCAGCUUUCCCUAAAGUACUUGAGCUUAUGGUAAAGCAUAUAUGUUAUCCAAGUUAAAGUCUGGACGCUGUUAGUAAUGGGAAGGCAAGUAAUGAAUGUUAGCUAUGGAGCCAACAGACAGUGUCCACUCCAUUGUCUUUAAGGCCCAACUAAAGAUAACCUCUUUACCAAUGUCGGUUUAUUUAUUCAUUUAUUUAUUCAUUGAGAUGGAGUCUCACUCUCUCACCCAAGCUGGAGUGCAGUGGAAUGAUCUCAGCUGACUGCAAUUUCUGCCUCCCAGGUUCAAGCAAUCUCCUGCUUCAGCCUCCCAAGUAGCUGGGAUUACAGGCGCACACCACCAUGCCCGGCUAAUUUUUGUAUUUUUAGUAGAGAUAGGGUUUCACCAUGUUGGCCAAGCUGGUCUCGGACACCUGACCUCAAGUGAUCUGCCUGCCUCGGCCCCCAAAGGUGUGAGCCACUGCACCUGGCUACAAUGUCAGUUUCUAUAAAAACUGCCUUGACUUGUUUUGUUUGCUUGUUUUGUUUGUUUGUGUUUUAAUUUUUAUUAUUUUUUUUUAGAGACAGGGUCUCAAUCUGUUGUCUAGGCUUGAGUGCAGUGGUGCAAUCAUAGCUCACUGAAGUGUUGGACUCCCAGGCUCAAGCAGUCCUCCCACCUCAGCCUCCCAAGUAGCUGAGACUACAGGCAUGCACCACCCUGUCUGGCUAAUUUUUUAUUUUUAGUAGAGAUGAGGUCUCACUAUGUUGCCCAAGGUGGCCUCAAACUCCUGGCCUCAAGUACUCCUGUGGCCUUAGCCUCCCAAAGCUCUGGGAUUGCAGGUAUGAGCCGCCAUGCCUGGCCUACUGUAUAUUUUAUGCAUUUGAUAUAAGUCUUGCCUCCCUAAGUAUAUUACAAGUCCCUUGAAGUUAAAGACAUUAGAUUCCUACUCAGUGCUGAGCUGCAACAGAGAGCACUCAAUGAUGGAUAAAAUAGUUUUAGCAUGCAUUCAGCGAUAUAUAUUUAGAAAGUGGAACUAGGUGGUUGAAAAAAGUGUAUAGAUGGGUGGAAGGGAAUAUUACAGCUCUUAGAAUUGUCCUAAGGUGAGAGUAACAAAUUAAGCAAUGAGUCCCUGGGUUCACUCAAGCAACUUCACUCUCUAAAACAAGAGCCCACAGAAUCCCAUUUCUGCUUUCAGAAUGAGUUUGAGGCCAAUAUUAUUUCCAUUUUUUUUCUUUUUCUUUCUUUCUUUUUUUUUUUUUUUUUUUUGAGACGGAGUUUCACUCUUGUUGCCCAGGCUGUUUUGAUCUCGGCUCACUGCAACCUCUGCCCCUGGGUUCAAGCGAUUCUCCUGUCUCAACCUCCCAAGCUGGGAUUACAAGCAUGCGCUACCACACCUGGCUAAUUUUGUAUUUUUAAUAGAGACGGGGUUUCUCUGUGUUGGUCAGGCUGGUCUCAAACUCCCAACCUCAGGUGAUCUGCCCACCUUGGCCCAGCCUCCAAUAUGAUUUUCUAAUAGCUGUGUUUGAUGAUUAUAUUUAUUCCUCCAUCAGUAGCUUUUUUAGCCUUGAAAAUAUCUAUUUAAGUUUCUUAUUUCCUUUGGAUCUAUCAAAGUGUUUUUCCCCAAGUGGCACCUGGGAAAACAUAUUCUAUUCAUUUAUUUUAUAACUGUUCCCUUGACCUCUUUAUUGCUUCCCUAUUACAACCCAAGAUGCUCUUGUAAACCUGACUUAAUAUUGGCAGUCUUCAUCCCUUGCAAAUGGAAGUGAUGACAGACCCAAUACUUUGUGUAAAAAUAUUUUGCUAUUUCUAUACAAAAUAUUUUAUUAAUGGAAACCACAUGUUAUGUAUUUUACAUAUGUUAUGACUUGAAAUUUAUGUUAUGACUUGAAAUUGGGGAAUCUGAUAUGUCUCUAAUAAUAAAGGCUUCACAGUA
rnacentral:lncRNA from 1 species